rnacentral:lncRNA from 1 species
AUGAACUGCAAAACGACCUGGAGAUUAGUCAGAGAGGCUCUUAGCACACUCGGCUUUCCAGGAACCAUAUCAACGAUACUAUCAUCACCUGAUUUUGGGAAUUUAAGGACGAUCUUCCAGCUUCUUAUGAGAACAUUGAUCAAUCUUUUUCUUCAACUCAGCAAACUUGCGAGCAGUGUGAGCCAUGUGACAAUCCAGUACAGAGGCAUACACAGCCAGUGUGAUUCACCCUGGAGGAUUCAGGCUAAUCACCUGAGCAGUGAAGCCAGCUGCUUCCACAGAUCUAGAGAGGUCCUGCAUUUGCUGCCUGACACCCACUCCACAUGGUCUCCCAGAAGGAGCCACUAAAGGCAGGAAGUUGGAAGCCAACCUUGGGAAGGGAAAGGAAAGGACCCAGCAAGGAAGGAAAACUGGUGGCCAGUGAUCAGCUGUGUUUACCCACACUGGGCUCAUAAAUACGACCUAGACAAUACUUUGUGACUUGGGUGAAUUGCCAGGUGCACUUGGAUGAAGAGAAAACUCAGGGACACAGGAAUAAGAAAGACCAAUGUUUGCUCUUAAUAUUUGGCUGUUAAAGCAAUUUACGCAAAUCGCACUGGGCUGAGUAAGAAGAGACCAACCGGCUGAGCAGCAGCAUAGGAGGGAAAUUGUCUCAAGAUAUGGAAGGAGUUUUCACAUCCUGUUAAACUUGAGGCUAGUGUUAUUUUUUGCAGUAAAGCUAUGGAAAAUACUGGAAGGUUUGGGCAGGCAGUCUGAAAACAAAAAUCGUGCUGCUUGUAAUUGUAUGUCUGCCUCUGUGCCAGCUGAUGUAGAAGAGAAACCGCCCAGCUGAAGAUCAUUUCCUUUUGCUUGAAUACCCAUUUGCAAUGAUUGAUUUUAAAGGUCACAAGAGUGCUCGCCAGCACAUUUUUAUAUGAGGAGUCCAGCCUUCUGUUUUGACGUUAGUCAGAUGCGUAUGUAGCACCUGAGGUACAGGGAGGAGACAGGAAAGGAUCAGGUUCCCUUUUGGCUCCAUCACUGUCAAAUUGGAAACUUAAAUGUCUGAGUGCCUUAUUUUGGCCUAGACAACCCCAAGCUCAUGGGAAACAAAUAUCUGUAAUAUUUUUAUACUGUAGUCUCAAAAUUUUACCCUUUGAAUUUUUUUCAGUCUUCUAAAACUUUUCCUUUUGCUUCUUUCCCUUUCCUGUAUCCCUCUCUAAAUAUUUUCUAGAUGCUUGAUAUGCAUGUCAUAUCCUGUGCAGCUGCUGGGUGUGUAUGUAGGAAUACCAAACAGUUUUGCAUCAAGGUGUUUGCAAAUCUAGUGGAGUUUUGAAAACAAAUAAUAGCAACA